rnacentral:lncRNA from 1 species
GGCUAUUUGCGGCUGUGGAUAAAGGAAACUAAUGUAAGUGUGCGGCCAAGUGGAAACACCCUGUUGAAGUUAAGCGCCUGCAGGCAUCGGGAUGGAACCAAGGUUUUUAGUAGAGUGCUACUGAACCGUUUGUCAUGGGUUAUUUAAUAUGCUCAUUCCAAAUGACAUUUCGAUGGCAGGCAGGGUGUCGAUGAAGGUGGGCGUAACUGUUUGCGUAAUUGGGAUGGCGGCUCUUAGGACCAUGGAAGGAUCAAUGAAUAACCUGAGCGGUAAGACGUUGGCUGAAUAAUAAAGGGUUUGCGUUAAUUUUUCAGUUUGAAAAUAUAAUGGUUACCGUAUAACGCUGCUUCUGUUGCAGGCAAGGGUGGGCGCAUAAGGAAAUGAGGAGAGGAAGCUUCUGGUGCAACCCCAUAUUCUGUCGUAUAAUGAAUUGAGGCGCUUUUGUUAGGUGACAACCGCAGGAAGGGACUUCUUUUGCCUCCUGGGACAUCUUGCGAACUCCGACAGGCUCCGACUCGUAGGACAUAAGAUGUGCGUAAGAUGUACGAAGGAGCCGCGCUGCAACAUCCAUUUUAUUACGGUUAUCUACAAGGGUGAUUAAGCAUAACGAUUAGCUGGAUGAUGCAAUGUCUUGCUUGUUUUUGUUGCAAGUUUCUUGAGGUCGAAAGGCCGACAUGCGCCCUGCCUAACCCUUUUCGCUGGGCAGCGCCACAUUCUGCGGUGUACUUGCACGGAUUGUUGCAUUAUGACUGCUCGUGCAUUCAUAAUGCACCUGUCUAAGAGACAUCGCCUACGACUCUUUACCCUAAGAUGCUUUCCCCUUUUUGAAAUCACGUAAGGGCUCUUAAAUCCUGGUUGUUUCUGAACUCAUGCCGUGUCCGCCGAGCACUUAGCAGGUGGUAUGGUCCUGACUUGAAGCAUUCAGCUAAGAGGCCGCAAGACUUGUGCGCUUUGGUCCAGUUCGUUGACGGCGGUUUAUUGCAACAAAAUGAUGCCCUGUUGCUUCUGUUGCACCGACGGAGACGUGCAACUGCCAUCGCUUGUCAUAUCGAACCUUCGAAACAGCUGCGAGUGCCGACAAUCGAAAUUGACUAAAUCCUCUUAUGCGUUCGGCCCGUGUUGCGGCGCGUGAAGGACGGGUGGCGGAAGAUUUUAAUUCAAACAUCGCAGUGCAAACAGCAUUGCGCGCACUCAUCAGCCUAUCUACCAUCCGCUACAGCUUUUUUGUACUGAAAUAAACUACUAGAAACAAGUCAAAUCCCUUACUGCUUCAAGAUAUUCAGGUCGGCUGCGAUUGGGGUUCCUUAGGGUUGCGGUAUCCAAUAUUUGUGCACGUGGACGUCCACGAGUACCGUCGGCUCGGUACAUCGUUGUCGAUGCGCUAAUCGUUUUCUAGUGGUGUUAUUUAUGAUGCGUAGGAAGUAAGCGUGGUGUCGUAUGCUCUGCCGCGGUAGCCUUGAUGCAAUGGAGCUUACGUGAUGGCGGCCUCAUGCAUAUGCACAGCUGAAGAUAGACAGCAAAGGGCCCUCAACAAUGCCCGAAAGAUAGCGGUACUCCGGCUUCAUUAUAACAUUGAAAUGGACGAAAAGUAUUAUAUGCCCUUUGCAAAAUGUCCUCAGUCAGCCAGGUAUUGUGAAUACGAAUGAAGGCUCAGACUUAAACUGCAGCCAAGAGGUAAUUAAUAGUAUAUGCAUUGAAAAUAUAUGCAUUAAGUGAUGACCUCACAGCCUGAAUAAGGCGCAAUGAGAAGUGCGCGGCUCACAUUCUUCCAGGGUGUAAAGUGUUACCCUUUCAAGGGUGAUAAGCUUCGACAGCUUACGAUGAGAGUUAGGUAAAAGCGAGCUUCGGUCAAAGAUAGGUUUGGAGACUAAUGCUAAUGACAAGGGGAGGGAAAAAGUCAUAAUACGCAAUGCGUUCAAUAAUUAGCUUUUACCCUAAAAUUGAGUGUGUACGGCACUUCCUUAAAGCUGCAUACGGUAAUGAUUGUAUCAUCGCCAGCAACGUGCUAAAUGUUCCAGUGCGGAGCACAUGAAAAAUAUUGUGUGCGACUUAUGCGCACAUGUGAUUUUUUAUUUUGUCGAGGGUCAAUCAUUAAGGCCAUGCGCUGCUUUUGCUUUGAAAUCACUAAGAAGCGGCAUGGAAACCAGUACAGCUACUGCCCCCGUUUCAUGGAUAACAUCCUUAGCGGCCACUUCCCCCAAAUCAAGCCCUUUAAGCAAAAAUAAAAACUAUCCUGCUGUCAUGGUGGAUGCAAAAUCCAAAAACUGUUGCAGUUUCAGGGCAUUCCCGGAUGUACGGCGCCACCCCCGAUGCAGCGACUUAAGUCUACGACUUUCCUAAUUAUAUAUAAGCUUUUCAUAUCUGUUAGAGACGUUUAUGUUAAUUUGUGCUUGCACUUGCUAAGAUAUUGAACCCCGCAACGGGGUCGAUUAAACGUACACACUGACCCCUUGUUUGGUCGACAGCAACUCCCCAGUGCCAAAACAAUUUCUUGUCAGAUUAUUUUGCAAAUUUUGCUUAGUGCAAUAGACAGCAGUCCCUCUACAGCGUCGCACCUGACUUCUUGAAUGGUCAUCGCAUUACACGCUGACUGUCUUCCAGAUAUGAGGACAUCCCAGCGGAGCGCUGCCCUCAAGAUGAGGCUUUCAACAAUUAUUUUGACGAUUCUUUUCGCCACCGGGAGUCACAGACUCGUGUAUGCCUCACAAAGGCGGGCA